rnacentral:rRNA from 1 species
UACCAGACUCCUACGGGAGGCAGCAGUGGGGAAUAUUGCACAAUGGGGGAAACCCUGAUGCAGCGACGCCGCGUGAGCGAUGAAGUAUUUCAGUAUGUAAAGCUCUAUCAGCAGGGAAGAAGAUGACGGUACCUGACUAAGAAGCCCCGGCUAACUACGUGCCAGCAGCCGCGGUAAUACGUAGGGGGCAAGCGUUAUCCGGAUUUACUGGGUGUAAAGGGAGCGUAGACGGCGAUGCAAGCCAGAUGUGAAAGCCCGGGGCUCAACCCCGGGACUGCAUUUGGAACUGUGUGGCUGGAGUGUCGGAGAGGCAGGCGGAAUUCCUGGUGUAGCGGUGAAAUGCGUAGAUAUCAGGAGGAACACCGGUGGCGAAGGCGGCCUGCUGGACUGCAACUGACGUUGAGGCCCGAAAGCGUGGGGAGCAAACAGGAUUAGAUACCCCCGUAA